rnacentral:misc_RNA from 1 species
AGUCGCAUGUGUGGUUGCGGGCUACUUGAUUGAGUACUUGGUUGCUCCCAUUGGACCUAUGUUUGUCGAGUACUUGUUUGGUCCUAUUGCAAGUGUGAUUACUUACAUCUACUACUACAAGGGCAACUCUCAGUGCCUAAGGAAAGAAAUUGAUAAAUUGAUGCUUAUAAGAGAGAGGGUGAAGCAUAUGGUUGAUGAAGCUGGAAGAAAUGGGGAAGAAAUAGAAUCUGAUGUUCAGAAGUGGUUGAAGAGUGUGCAUGAGAUCACUGAAGAGGCAAGCAGAUUUUUUGAAGUUGAAGAAAAUGCACAGCGGAGAGUUUUUUGUGGGUUAUUUCCUAAUU